UGUCUGUGUAGCUUCUCUUUCGCUACAGGCGUGGUAGCUUAUUUGGGAUAUUAAAUAAUAUGGGUACUACAUUUCAUACAAGUUUACUACAUUCGCAUUCACUGAUUUAACUCUACAAUAGGAUGGAUUCGCGAAUUCCCGCUGAUGACUGAUGUUCAAGCUGCAGAGAGUCCUUCCACCUGGUGCACCAGUUACAAGGAAUGUUUGUUGUCGACACAGAAAGGAUUUCUUAAAGACAAAAGUGCUUUGCAUAAACUGGGCAAUGAACAAACUAAUUAGAAAGAUGUCCUGGCAUAACCACAAGCACCAAAACGAUGAUACAGAAUGCAAGAGCAGAGAAGGCGGUGAGGAAAUGGCGGCCAAUAGUGCGCGGAACUGGACCGCGCCACGCC